GCUAACUCCGUGCCAGCAGGCGCGUUAAUGCGGAGGUGCCAGGCGUUAUCCGGAAUCAUUGGGUUUAAAGGGUCCGUAGGUGGCCUUAUAAGUCAGCGGUGAAAGUUGUUGGCUUAACCAAAAAAUUGCCAUUGAUACUGUAGGGCUUGAAUUAUUGUGAAGUAACGAGAAUAUGUAGUGUAGCGGUGAAAUGCUUAGAUAUUACAUGGAAUACCAAUUGCGAAGGCAGGUUACUAACAAUGGAUUGACGCUGAUGGACGAAAGCGUGGGUAGCGAACAGGAUUAGAUACCCCUGUAGUC
rnacentral:rRNA from 1 species